rnacentral:rRNA from 1 species
CCUACGGGAGGCAGCAGUAGGGAAUAUUGCUCAAUGGGGGAAACCCUGAAGCAGCAACGCAGCGUGGAGGAUGAAGGUUUUCGGAUUGUAAACUUCUUUUGUUAGAGAAGAUAAUGACGGUAUCUAACGAAUAAGCACCGGCGAACUCGGUGCCAGCAGCCGCGGUAAUACGGAGGGUGCAAGCGUGACUCGGAAGCACUGGGCGUAAAGGGCGCGUAGGCGGGAUAGCAAGUCAGAUGUGAAAUCAUAUGGCUUAACCAUAGAACUGCAUUUGAAACUGUUAUUCUAGAGUAGGGGAGAGGUAGGUGGAAUUCUUGGUGUAGGGGUAAAAUCCGUAGAGAUCAAGAGGAAUACUCAUUGCGAAGGCGACCUGCUAGAACAUAACUGACGCUGAUGCGCGAAAGCGUGGGGAGCAAACAGGAUUAGAUACCCCUGUAGUC